rnacentral:rRNA from 1 species
GCCUACACAUGUCAAGUCGAGCGGAACGAGUUAUCUGAACCUUCGGGGAACGAUAACGGCGUCGAGCGGCGGACGGGUGAGUAAUGCCUAGGAAAUUGCCCUGAUGUGGGGGAUAACCAUUGGAAACGAUGGCUAAUACCGCAUGAUGCCUACGGGCCAAAGAGGGGGACCUUCGGGCCUCUCGCGUCAGGAUAUGCCUAGGUGGGAUUAGCUAGUUGGUGAGGUAAGGGCUCACCAAGGCGACGAUCCCUAGCUGGUCUGAGAGGAUGAUCAGCCACACUGGAACUGAGACACGGUCCAGACUCCUACGGGAGGCAGCAGUGGGGAAUAUUGCACAAUGGGCGCAAGCCUGAUGCAGCCAUGCCGCGUGUGUGAAGAAGGCCUUCGGGUUGUAAAGCACUUUCAGUCGUGAGGAAGGUGGUGGAGUUAAUAGCUGUAUUAUUUGACGUUAGCGACAGAAGAAGCACCGGCUAACUCCGUGCCAGCAGCCGCGGUAAUACGGAGGGUGCGAGCGUUAAUCGGAAUUACUGGGCGUAAAGCGCAUGCAGGUGGUUUGUUAAGUCAGAUGUGAAAGCCCGGGGCUCAACCUCGGAAUAGCAUUUUGAAACUGGCAGACUAGAGUACUGUAGAGGGGGGUAGAAUUUCAGGUGUAGCGGUGAAAUGCGUAGAGAUCUGAAGGAAUACCGGUGGCGAAGGCGGCCCCCUGGACAGAUACUGACACUCAGAUGCGAAAGCGUGGGGAGCAAACAGGAUUAGAUACCUGGUAGUCCACGCCGUAAACGAUGUCUACUUGGAUGUUGUGGUCCUUGAGCUCGUGUCUUUUCGGAGCUAACGCGUUUAAUGUUAUCACGUC